ACAUGGGUAACCUGCCUGUAAGACUGGGAUAACUCCGGGAACCGGGGCUAAUACCGGAUGGUUGUUUGAACCGCAUGGUUCAGACAUAAAGGUGGCUUCGGCUACCACUUACAGAUGGACCGCGGCGCAUUAGCUAGUUGGUGAGGUACGGCUCACCAAGGCGACGAUGCGUAGCCGCCUGAGAGGGUGAUCAGGCCACACUGGGACUGAGACAGGCCCAGACUCCUACGGGCGCAGCAGUAGGGAAUCUUCCGUCAAUGGACGAAAGUUGACGGAGCAACGCCGCGUGAGUGAUGAAGGUUUCGGAUCGUAAAGCUCUGUUGUUAGGGAAGAAAGCUGCCGUUCAAAUAGGGCGGCACCUUGACGGUACUAACCAGAAAGCCACGAGCUAACUCGUGCCAGCAGCCGCGGUAAUACGUAGGUGGCAAGCGUUGUCCGGAACUAUUGGGCGUAAAGGGCUCGCAGGCGGUUUCUUAAGUCUGAUGUGAAAGCCCGGCUCAACCGGGUAGGGUCAUUGGAAACUGGGGAACUUGAGUGCAGAAGAGGAAGUGGAAUUCACACGUGAGCGGUGAAAUGCGUAGAGAUGUGGAGGAACACCAGUGGCGAAGGCACUCUCCUGGUCUGUAACUGACGCUGAGGGCGAAAGCGUGGGAGCGAACAGGAUUAGAUACCCUG
rnacentral:rRNA from 1 species